rnacentral:lncRNA from 1 species
AGGCAAAACUGUUGUUGGGAGGUUUAUUAAUCUUAUUGUGUUGUGUUUUGUUUUUAUUUUCUAGACUUGGCCAUGUGGGAUCUGCACCUCCUAACUUUUAGAGUUCUGUUACACCAAAUUCCCACUAACUUUCUGCAUCAGAGCAACUGGAGUCCACGGAAUGAGAAAAACCUGGUUUUCCAGAGAGAGAACCAGGGAACCAAGGAGAAUGAGAGGGGUCAAAGAAACAGAAGCACUUGUCCAGAACUCAUCCUAAAGGCAGACCUCCGAGAACUUCAAUCAUCUGGAGAUCAACCGGGAACCAGAAGCAAGUAAAAAGCUUCCAUGUAAUUGAUCAGUACUCAUCAGAAAUAUCAAGGUCAUGAAAGCAAGAAUUCUUACAGAAUGGAAGAAUCUAAGGACAACCAACCGCCAUGAGCAAUGUGGGAUUCUGGAGCAGAUACUCAAACAGAACAUUUGAGGAAAACCCGCGAAAUUCACAGAAGGUACAACAAUUGUAUUGUACCACUGAUAAUUUCCUGGUCUUAAUCACUGGACUAUGAUUUUGGAAGUUGUUAUCAUAAGGGGAAACUGGAUGAAUGAUACAAAUGAACUCUACUUUUAUAAUAUUUUUUAUAAGUCUGAAAGUAUCUUAAAUAAAAAGUGUGCUUUGUUUUGCC